UGCAUUUAGAAUGAACUUUAUCGCAUAGAUUUAGAUUCGGAUAACAUGUCUAUAGAUAAGUGCGUUCGCGAAACGAGCUUUAGGGUCCUCUAGUUAAUUAGUACAGAACCACUUUGUUACGUUAAUUAAUUAGAGUAAUGCCGUAAAUGCAAAUGAGUUUACUUGGUUCUAGAAUAUUGUUUGUUGUUAAUUAGGACUUAGAGCUCCUGGGAAUGUAAAGACCGCUGAGAUUGUUGAAGCAUGACGAAUAUGCGGACCGUUUUCGGCUUCAAGAAAAACUUAAAGAUAAAGUUUUAUAUAUCAUUAUCAAAUCGAGAUACAACGUAUAGAUUUUUCUUGGUUUAGGAAACAACAAUCAACUCAUUUGACUUUUGGUAUGCUGUCGCUUUAAAACAUAUACCAUCGAAGCAACUCUGAAGUGCAGAACACAAUAUAACUUAGUGGUUUGAUAGCUGUAUGCAAACUAUUACCAUCAAAACCAAUCAAAUAAGUACAGUGUAUGUUAUGUUUGAAAUUUUGUAAGCGGCGUGAUGCCGCAAAUUGGAGUUUUUACAGAAGCAAUUUAGAUUAAAUCUAUUGAUACAAUAAGUAUUGAGCUGAUGUAAAUGAGUUAGAUUCAACGCAAAAGUUUUAAUGGAAAUUACAGUAAGAAACAGCAAUAACUAUAAAAACUCAGAAAUAUAAUUCUUAAUAAUUUUAUGAUGAUUCGGAUAUAAAGAUUAUAAUGUUAAGCUAGAAACACAACGUUAUUAAUUAUAUUUAAUAUGUAAACUGUUUUGAUAAAACUUAUGGUGAUCAUGUUACUGUCGUCCGAGUUGAGGAUAUUCAAACUUAAUAUAAUAUAUUAUAGCAAAUUUAUACUGAAUAUCUGAGAGUGGAGUUAUGAGAUUGUAUUUUCAAGUUUAAAUGUGUGGGCGUGGGCAUAAUGAAAGAUUAUAACAGCGUCAAUAAAACAGCGCAAACGAUUAACUUUUGCAUCCCACUCUUCUUUGAUGAUCACAACAUAUAUCAUAUGAAUCUUAUUGUAUUUCAAUGAAUUUAAACAAUAGCUUGUUGUAAUAGUAACUAGUUUACGUUACGUUACGCUAUUUAAUGUUAUAGUUAACGAUCUAUCAUGACAAUAGUUCAUGGUUUAAAGACAGGCAAACUUAUCUGACCCGGUGAACAUGAGUCAUAUUAAAUUAUAAAAGCACACUAGUCCAUAACGUUUUUACGAUUUUAUGAUGAUAGUUUAUAAAUACUAUUUACACUGUAAUAUAUUACGAAAGGCAGAGUGAAAACAUUUCCGCAAGGAAAUAGCUUCUGAAAUGUUCUUCAUAUUAAUACGAGUACGAAAGCUGUUGUAUUCAGGAAAUGCUAUUUACGUCCGCUUGGGAUGUUGUUAAAAUAUAUCAUGCCUUAUGUAAAACUUAUUCAUCAUUAUUUAUAAAAUAAUUUUUAUACAAUUUGCUUCCAAAUGCAGUUUGUUUUUCAAUCACAUUAAUAAAGCGAUAAAGAUAUAUGAGUCGUCAUGUUAUGCAAGCUUUGAAUAUCCCAAUAUAUGCCUUUCUAACAGCAUCUCAGUCUCAACAAUACGUUUACAAAACUGACGAACUUAAAUUUAUGAAGAUUAGAGGAUAGUGACCCGCGGGUCGAUCUUACCUUUCCAAUACUUUAAACAUAUUUAUGACCAUUGGCGCCAAGUGACAUGCGACGUAAAAACAAAGGCUGGAAAUACGACUAUUUUCCCAAAAAGCUACAUAAAAGUUUUACAAAGAGAUAUGAAAGCAGAAUAAUAGAAUUAGACUUUACUGUUGUAACUCAAACAGUAAGCCCUCAAUGGCGGGUACACGACGUGAAAUGGAGGUUCGCCAGUAAACAAAGCCUCGGCGCUCGAUUUAUUGGCUGAAUUCUUAGAUGCGAAAAUAGUUUAACAAUAGCAAGUAACAGCAGAUUUGGAUGGACGUCGAAGUGA